GUGAUAUGUGAAUGGAGGUGGUGAGGUUUACAUGGAAGUGAUGAGAUGUAGAUGGAGGUGGUAAGUUGUAGACAGAGGUGUGAGGUGGAGAUGGAGAUGGUGAGGUAGUGUAUGGUGGUGUGAAGUAUAGAUGGAGGUAUGAGGUAUACAUGGUGAUGAGGUGUGGACAAGGGUGGUGAGGUGUAGAUGGUGAUGGUGAGGUAUAGAAGGAGGUGUGUGGCGUAGGUAUAGGUGGUGAGAGAUAGGUGAGGGUGGUGAGGUGUAGAUGGUGGUCGUGAGGUGUAGAUGGAGGUGGUGAUAUCUAGAUGGAGGUAGCGAGGUCUAGAUGGAGGUGUGUGAUAUAGGUGUAGGUGAUGAGGUAUAGGUGAGGGUGGUGAGGUGUAGAUGGUGAUGGUGAUGUCUAGAUGGAGGUGAUGAGGUCUAGAUGGAGGAGUGUGGUGUAGGUGUAGGUGGUGAGGUAUAGGUGAGGGUGGUGAGGUCUAGAUGGUGGUGAGGUCUAGAUGGAGAUGUGUGGUUUAGGUGUAGGUGGUGAGAUACAGGUGAGGGUGGUGAGGUGUAGAUGGUGGUGGUGAGGUCUAGAUGGAGAUGUGUGGUUUAGGUGUAGGUGGUGAGAUAUAGGUGAGGGUGGUGAGGUGUAGAUGGUGGUGGUGAGGUCUAGAUGGAGGUGGUGAGGUCUAGAUGGAGGUGUAUGGUGUAAGUGUAGGUGGUGAGGUAUAGGUGAGGUUGGUGAGGUAUAGAUGGUGGUGGUGAGGUCUAGAUGGAGGUGGUGAUGUCAGAUGGAGGUGGUGAGGUCUAGAUGGGGGUGGUGAGGUCUAGAUGGAGGCAGUGAGGUCUAGAUGGAGGCGGUGAGGUCUAGAUGGAGGUGUAUGGUGUAGGUGUAGGUGGUGAGGUAUAGGUGAGGGUGGUGAGGUGUAGAUGGUGAUAGUGACGUAUAGAUGGUGGUGGUGAGGUGUAGAUGGAGGAGGUGAGGUCUAGAUGGACGUGGUGAGGUCUAAAUGGAGGUAGUGAGGUCUAGAUGGAGGUGUGUGGUUUAGGUGUGGGUGGUGAGGUAUAGGUGAGGGUGGUGAGGUCUAGAUGGUGGUGGUGAGGUCUAGAUGGAGGUGGUAAUGUCUAGAUGGAGGUGGUGACGUCUAGAUGGAGGUGUGUGGUUUAGGUGUAGGUGGUGAGGUAUAGGUG
rnacentral:lncRNA from 10 species